rnacentral:misc_RNA from 1 species
UUUCCGUAGGUGAACCUGCGGAAGGAUCAUUCAUAAUAAGUGUUUUAUGGCACUUUUUUAAAUCCAUAUCCACCUUGUGUGCAAUGUCAGGGUUGAUUUUUCUCUCGAGAGGAUCAGCCCCAAACAUCAACUAUAUCUCAACUCUUUGUCUGAAAAAUAUUAUGAAUACUUAAUUCAAAAUACAACUUUCAACAACGGAUCUCUUGGCUCUC